UACGGGGGGAGCAAGCGUUGUUCGGAUUUAUUGGGCGUAAAGGGUCCGUAGGCGGUCCGGAAAGUCAGAUGUGAAAUCCCACAGCUCAACUGUGGAACUGCAUUUGAAACUUCCGGACAGAGUAUGAGAGGGGUAAAGGGAAUUCCCGGUGUAAGGGUGAAAUCUGCAGAGAUCGGGAGGAACACCUGUCGCGAAGGCGCUUUACUGGCUC
rnacentral:rRNA from 1 species